GGGGGGGGGGGGGGGGGGGGGGGGGGGGGGGGGGGGGGGGGGGGGGGGGGGGGGGGGGGGGGGGGGGGGGGGGGGGGGGGGGGGGGGGGGGGGGGGGGGGGGGGGGGGGGGGGGGGGGGGGGGGGGGGGGGGGGGUUGGCGGGGCACUGGCUGCUCUGCGCCCUGCCCGGGCAUGGCUCAGCCCUCGGGAUCCCGGCGGAGCCGGCGGACAGGAUGCUUUAAAUUAUUCCUUCCUCUUGCUGAUGACCAGGUUCCUGUUUGAUCCUGUUUACAAGCUUUCGAAGAUUGAAAAUAACCCCUACUCCUCUGCAUUGGGCAGUGACAGUGUCAGAGCAGCAGCCCAACAGGGGAGUCAGAGGAGCUGA
rnacentral:lncRNA from 1 species